rnacentral:rRNA from 1 species
UUUCAACAACGGAUCUCUUGGCUCUCGCAUCGAUGAAGAACGCAGCGAAAUGUGAUAAGUAAUGUGAAUUGCAGAAUUCAGUGAAUCAUCGAAUCUUUGAACGCACCUUGCGCUCUCUGGUAUUCCGGAGAGCAUGU